UACGUAGGGGGCAAGCGUUGUCCGGAUUUAUUGGGCGUAAAGAGCGUGUAGGCGGCCAUGUAGGUCCGUUGUGAAAACUCGAGGCUCAACCUCGAGACGCCGAUGGAAACCAUGUGGCUAGAGUCCGGAAGAGGAGAGUGGAAUUCCUGGUGUAGCGGUGAAAUGCGCAGAUAUCGGGAAGAACACCAGUGGCGAAGGCGGCUGCCUGGCCUGUAACUGACGCUGAGACGCGAAAGCGUGGGGAGCGAACCGG
rnacentral:rRNA from 1 species